ensembl:snRNA RNU6-732P RNA, U6 small nuclear 732, pseudogene
UUGCUUUGGCAGCAUGUAUGCUAAAAUCGGAAGGAUACAGAGAAGAUUAGCAUGGCCCCUGUGCAAGGAUGACAUGCAAAUUUGUGAAGUGUUCCAUAUUUUU